rnacentral:tRNA from 1 species
GCGGCGAUCGCAUAGCCUGGCCAUUGCGUCGGAUUGCUAAUCCGAUGGGUCUUUUCCCACGGGGGUUCGAAUCCCUCUCGCCGCGCCA